ACUCUUCUAGUAUAACAAUUACAAUAGACUUCCAAUCUUUAAAUUCUGGUCAAACCCAGAGAAGAGUA
rnacentral:tRNA from 1 species